UCGGGAAUCUUGCACAAUGGGCGAAAGCCUGAUGCAGCAACGCCGUGUGAGCGAGGAAGGCCUUAGGGUCGUAAAGCUCUGUUGUUGGGGACGAAGGGCGAAGGGUUAAUAGCCCCUAGCCUGACGGUACCCUCCGAGAAAGCCCCGGCCAACUACGUGCCAGCAGCCGCGGUAACACGUAGGGGGCUAGCGUUGUCCGGAAUUAUUGGGCGUAAAGGACGCGCAGGCGGCCCGGUAAGUCUGCUGUGAAAUCUUGGGGCUCAACCCCAGGCUUGCAGUGGAUACUGCCGGGCUAGAGGACGGUAGAGGCGAGUGGAAUUCCCGGUGUAGCGGUGAAAUGCGCAGAUAUCGGGAGGAAUACCGGUGGCGAAGGCGGCUCGCUGGGCCGUUCCUGACGCUGAGGCGUGAAAGCUAGGGGAGCGAACCGGAUUAGAUACCCGUGUAGUCC
rnacentral:rRNA from 1 species